rnacentral:tRNA from 1 species
GCCGCGUGGUGCGCCUGGGGCGCAGCUCGGUUGUCUCCCGAGUGAGACGGGUUCGAUUCCCGUACGUGGCGCCA